rnacentral:lncRNA from 1 species
AUGAGAGAAGUGGUGAUACAGAUCAUAUAUAUUUAUAGCCAUAUUAAAAAAAAAAAAAGCGUAACAACUUCACCUUCAGAGCUGCAUUCAACUAUGGUGCGCGGAAUUUGGUUGAGAAUUCACGCUUCAGUGAGGAACAGAGGACUUGAAAGUGCUGCUAAGCACCCCCUGCAUCAGGCGGAGACACUGCUGUGGUGAUUUACACUCUUCAAAUUCAUAGAUUUUAUAUUUUUUUUCCACAGCGGCAAAGCCAGGAACUUGGGUUUUAAUGAAAGGUGAGAUCCAAAAUACUGGCCGUGUACAUAUCAGAUAGGAGAAAUUUGGCCCACAUAGUUGGCAUCCCUGAUUUAAAGCCUACUGGAGAAAAUAACCCAAGAAACAGAACGCGUUCCCUAUAAAUAGCUGCUCUCUAGGCAGUAGUCGAGCUGUGGUUUAUGAACAAAAUCUGUCCAAACUAUCUCGUGGUGCCCAAAUAUUCAUUGCCUGGUUUUGCUGAGUUGCGUGUCUCAUUUGGCCAACGCCUCCUGCUGCAGACACUUGUCCUGUUUUCUUUCCUAGCCCUCUGAACUCCAUGGUAGCGUUUGGACAGAUUUUAUGCAGAGCUUAUUGAAGGAUUUUUGCAGUGAUUUAGUGCACGGGCUAGUUGAGCCAAGUGAAACAGGAACUAUAUUCCUCAAGCAUGAAAAGGCAGAAAGGGAAUUUUCUUACUGAAAUAUAAUUUUUCCACAUUACUUAAUAGUCUAGAAAGUUAAUACGUUUUUAUUGGAAAAAAAAAUACGGUUCCUACUGAGCCAAACAACAAUAUAAUAACGUUUUAGAAACCUCUUAGAAACUGGCAGGUGUCACAGCCACCUUGCCUUCAGUGAAAAAGGCAAUUGAGACCCCUUCUGAAACAAGGGAUUUGCAUCAGUAGGGGCUACUACACAAAAACCAGGCACAUGGCAAGGCCUGAAUAGAUGGUGAAUCAUGUGGCCCAAGGGAUUUUUCUGGAUUUUGGGGGCGGGGGUGUGUGUGUAAAAUAUCAGGCCGCGAGGACCAGAUGGUAGAGCUCUGCAUGUGCAAGAGAAACAGCAAGAAGCACUACAGAAAUGGAUACUGAGAAGCAGCUGAAAGUCAAGGAAACUGGGAGCUUUGAUUUUGGAAAGAGAUUUCCUGUGUGGCGUGAGGGCCGAAAAAGGCUUGGGGUUGUGAGCAAAAACACAAUUGAAAAAAACAAUUUUGUACAGCUGUUCUGUAAAUAAAUGGAAUUGCCUUGAGUACA